ACGAAAUCUUAGGGGUGCCUUAAAAUAACGGGCUGAGAUCACACCCAUAAACCUGAUCCGGGUAAUGCCGGCGGAGGGAUAGAGAAAUAUGCAAUU
rfam:Dysgonomonas mossii DSM 22836 genomic scaffold supercont1.3, whole genome shotgun sequence.